GACCUGGUGGCGUAACGGUAAGCGCGCGCAUUGUCGGUUCCUCGCAAUAUUGUACUAUACUGCGAGUCCCUCGUUCGAAUCGGGGUCAGGUCG